UUAUUACUUCCCUUUUACCAAUGUCGGCCACGGAAUUAUUUAUAGCCACACACAAUUUUUCAACAUAUGUUGAUACCGAUUUCAUGUCGAUGCUAAUAAUAAUGUUUGGAUUGAACUCUUCUUUGAAAAGAAUAACAUCAGACAUGCCAGCUGGAAGAUAAACAGCCAGACAGGGUCAAUGCGCAGAAGGAAUACUUGACCUUUUUGGGAAGAAGUUUCAUAACAUAUUGUAUACCAAUCCAACAGGAAACACUACGCCUCUCAUAACAUAUUGUAUACCAAUCCAACAGGAAACACUACGCCUCUCUUCUCAAUGCCUGUGCUAUAAGAGGAAGAAUAAGAAUGAUGUGAAAAGAAACUAUUCCUGUCUAUCCCACUUGCAGAUGUAGCAAUGCCAACAAUAUGUGAUUAAUAACGCAUAUUACACCUAGUUGUUGUUGCAUUUUCAAAUCAUGAGCAGUCUAUGAUAAUGUACUGCAACACUUGUAGAUGUAAGAGUUAACUGCCUCAAGACCUCACUCAUAUUUAUGGAAUAUGUUUGAAUGUAUAAGACAUUUUACCUAUACUCAUUUUGUUAUGCAGUUUUUAUAAUUUUUAUUCCAUUCUAACAGUAUAUGUCAACUUAAAACAACUGUAUGCAUUUUUUUAAUUUUUACAAUGGUAACCAUUGUGACCACAAAGUUGUGAUCAUCGCCAUGCAACUAACACUUACAAAUUGAUGAUUUCUGAAUUUAUUGUCGUUUAAUAGGUUUUAAGAUAGCCAUGUGUAAAUUAAUUGUACAAUUAAAUGAACAUUGAACAAAUCUGAGAAUAUUAUGUUUGUCUAUGCAUGAACUUAAUUAAAUGGGAUCUGUUUUAAUUCUUUAAAGAUGAAUAUAAUUCUUGAAUUACAAUUAAAUCUGAAUAGCUAAGAGAUUUAAAAGUGCAAUUUGUAAUUACAUUGUUUUUUUUUAGUUUUUUUUACAAGAUUAAAUGAACAUAAUAUUUAAUGUUUAAGUUUUUUAAAUAUAUUAUUUUAUUUUUACCUCUUUCAAAUAAUAAUGUUGGGUAUAGAUCUUGGUUUCCUUGGUUACAGUACAAUUAAAACAUUGAGGUUCUUUGUAAACAAUCACUGAUGAUUUUUGGAAAACAGUAGAUUCAAAUUUUGAAAUAUGGUACAGUUUGUAUGACAUAUUUUGCAGUGUCAUUUAAUUUGUUAAAAUUGGCUAGAUGUAGGUAAUCUUAUCAGAUCCAAAUGUACUGCAAACGAACUUGGCGCAAAUAACCACAAGAGUCUAUAUCUAUUGAGAUAGACACCAUGACUUUGUAUCUGCAUUUAGUAUGGAAGAAUGUUUGUUUCAAUAUAUCAUUAAUUAAACAAAAAACAGUUAAAAAGUGCAUUGCAUACACAAAAUUUCAAUAGUUUGAAUUAUUUAAGGUAUUUCCAUGGUAACCAAUAUACAUUUUAUAAUGUUUAUAUUUUUUCAAAUUCUUGAGAAGUAUUAAGUAUAUCAUAUUAUAAAACCAUAUGUUACUGUUUUAUUCAUGCACUUGAAGACUUAUUAAAAAUGCAUUAACAUAAUUUAUUGACAUGAAAAUAAAUCAAGAAUUUGAAAUGUU